GACGAGUACCCCAAGCGUUAUCCGGAAUCACUGGGCGUAAAGCGUGCGUAGGCGGUCUAGUUUGUCUGUUGUCAAAGCCCCCGGCUUAACCGGGGAUCCGCGACAGAAACGGCUAGACUCGAGGGGGCGAGAGGUCUAUGGAACUCAUGGUGUAGGGGUGAAAUCCGUUGAUAUCAUGGGGAACACCAAAAGCGAAGGCAGUAGACUAGCGCCUCUCUGACGCUGCAGCACGAAAGCGUGGGGAUCAAACGGG
rnacentral:rRNA from 1 species